rnacentral:tRNA from 1 species
GCCCAGGUGGUGAAACCGGUAAACACGCUAGCUUCAGGAGCUAGUGCUCGCAAGGGCUUGGAGGUUCGAGUCCUCUCCUGGGCA